rnacentral:rRNA from 1 species
UACGUAGGGUCCGAGCGUUGUCCGGAAUUACUGGGCGUAAAGAGCUCGUAGGUGGUUUGUCGCGUUGUCCGUGAAAACUCACAGCUCAACUGUGGGCGUGCGGGCGAUACGGGCAGACUGGAGUACUGCAGGGGAGACUGGAAUUCCUGGUGUAGCGGUGGAAUGCGCAGAUAUCAGGAGGAACACCGGUGGCGAAGGCGGGGUCUCUGGGCAGUAACUGACGUGGAGGAGCGAAAGCGUGGGGAGCGAACAGGGA